UCUGACAGGUGUGAAGCGGCUUUCGGCAAACUUACUGGAGACGACAAGAAGGGAUCCUGGUGUUCACAAUCAUCCAGUUUAAACCAGCCAGCUAUGAGGACUACGUGUAUCCCCAAUGGGCUCAGGGGAUUGGCUGGGUCAUCGCCAUGGCGUCCAUCAUCUGGAUCCCCCUCAGAGCUCUUCUCACACUGUGGGUUCUGCCUGGCUUAAUCAAUGAGAUACUGAAUUACUAUAUACUCAUCUGUCAGUCUCUAUCUCUCCCUCUCUCUCUAUUCAUCUACCUACCUAUAGCAUUAUUGCAACUUUACUACAACACCUUGCAGCCUCCUCAAGAGGUUCUGGUGUAAUGGCUAAGCUAAGGUGUUGGACAGAAUUCCAUUUUUAUGUCCUUUUUGCCAUGUUUUAUUAAAGUUUUGUCUUCCUCCCCCGGGAGAUUAGUAAAGUUAAUCACCCCUUAUUCACCGGAGAAUGAGAAGU